rnacentral:rRNA from 1 species
UACGAAAGGUGCAAGCGUUACUCGGAAUCACUGGGCGUAAAGCGCACGUAGGCGGACUCGUAGGUCAAUUGUGAAAUACCUGGGCUCAACCUGGGAACUGCAGUUGAAACCACUUGUCUUGAAUACCUGAGAGGGUGGGGGAAUACCUGGUGGAGAAGUGAAAUUCGUAGAGAUGCGGAGGAACACCGAUGGCGAAGGCAGCCCCCUGGGCCGACACUGACGCUCAGGCACGAAAGCGUGGGGAGCAAACAGG